UGGGGAAUUUUGGACAAUGGGCGAAAGCCUGAUCCAGCAAUGCCGCGUGUGUGAAGAAGGCCUUCGGGUUGUAAAGCACUUUUGUCCGGAAAGAAAUCCUUGGCUCUAAUACAGUCGGGGGAUGACGGUACCGGAAGAAUAAGCACCGGCUAACUACGUGCCAGCAGCCGCGGUAAUACGUAGGGUGCAAGCGUUAAUCGGAAUUACUGGGCGUAAAGCGUGCGCAGGCGGUUUGCUAAGACCGAUGUGAAAUCCCCGGGCUCAGCCUGGGAACUGCAUUGGUGACUGGCAGGCUAGAGUAUGGCAGAGGGGGGUAGAAUUCCACGUGUAGCAGUGAAAUGCGUAGAGAUGUGGAGGAAUACCGAUGGCGAAGGCAGCCCCCUGGGCCAAUACUGACGCUCAUGCACGAAAAGCGUGGGGAGCAAAACAGGAUUAGAUACCCUGGUAGUCCACGCCCUAAAACGAUGUCAACUAGUUGUUGGGGAUUCAUUUCCUUAGUAACGUAGCUAACGCGUGAAGUUGACCGCCUGGGGAGUACGGUCGCAAGAUUAAAAACUU
rnacentral:rRNA from 1 species